AUUGAACGCUGGCGGCAGGCUUAACACAUGCAAGUCGAGCGGGGUGAUGGUGCUUGCACUAUCACUUAGCGGCGGACGGGUGAGUAAUGCUUAGGAAUCUGCCUAUUAGUGGGGGACAACAUCUCGAAAGGGAUGCUAAUACCGCAUACGUCCUACGGGAGAAAGCAGGGGAUCACUUGUGACCUUGCGCUAAUAGAUGAGCCUAAGUCGGAUUAGCUAGUUGGUGGGGUAAAGGCCUACCAAGGCGACGAUCUGUAGCGGGUCUGGGAGGAUGAUCCGCCACACUGGGACUGAGACACGGCCCAGACGCCUACGGGGGGCAGCAGUGGGGAAUAUUGGACAAUGGGGGGAACCCUGAUCCAGCCAUGCCGCGUGUGUGAAGAAGGCCUUAUGGUUGUAAAGCACUUUAAGCGAGGAGGGGGCUCUUUUGGUUAAUACCCAAGAUGAGUGGACGUUACUCGCGGAAUAAGCACCGGCUAACUCUGUGCCAGCCGCCGCCGUAA
rnacentral:rRNA from 1 species